rnacentral:rRNA from 1 species
UCCGAAGGGGGCUAUCGUUGCUCGGAAUGACUGGGCGUAAAGGGCGCGUAGGCGGCUUACAUAGUUAGGCGUGAAAUUCCUGGGCUCAACCUGGGGACUGCGUCUAAUACAUGUAGGCUUGAGUGUGAAAGAGGGUCGUGGAAUUUCCAGUGUAGAGGUGAAAUUCGUAGAUAUUGGAAAGAACACCGGUGGCGAAGGCGGCGACCUGGUUCAUUACUGACGCUGAGGCGCGAAAGCGUGGGAAGAAAACAGG